CAGUCGCCACGGUAAUACGUAGGUGGCAAGCGUUGUCCGGAAUUAUUGGGCGUAAAGGGCUCGCAGGCGGUUUCUUAAGUCUGAUGUGAAAGCCCCCGGCUCAACCGGGGAGGGUCAUUGGAAACUGGGAAACUUGAGUGCAGAAGAGGAGAGUGGAAUUCCGCGUGUAGCGGUGAAAUGCGUAGAGAUGUGGAGGAACACCAGUGGCGAAGGCGACUCUCUGGUCUGUUACUGACGCUGAGGAGCGAAAGCGUGGGGAGCGAACAGGAUUAGAUACCCCUGUAGUCCCUGUCUCUUAUAU
rnacentral:rRNA from 1 species